CAGCGGACGAGAGCGUUUCGAGAACACCAGAGUGCGUUUCUUUUUUCAAUUGUGUCCGUCGUAAACAACGCGAAAGUAGUACAUAAAUAAAGUACAAACAUGUGGUUACAAAGAAAUUAAUAACUUUUAAUCAUAAAUAAUUGACGAACAAGGAAUGAAAAAAUGAUGACAAAUCUUUCUAACACUGUUCGAGUCUAGUGAGGAUAUAAAUUGGUGUCUUGCUUCUCACGCCUUCGCAAUGCAAAUUCAAAAUUCAUCGACAAAUCGUUUAACUGCAAAAUUGUAACCAAACACUAAGUUUACUUUUCUGAAAAAAUGUCUCUGAACUUUCGAACUGUUCGAAUCACUGAACCGAGGAAUUGAACUCUCAUGUCAUUAUGGAUUAAGUGUGAAAAUAAAUGAGUGAACAAAUAUUUGGGCUGUCGAGAUUAUGAUUGAUAUGUCGAGCUGUUUCUCUUGAACAAGAAUAAUACACAGUGAAUUUUCGCUUUAAGUCAAAAAAGGCUUUUGAGGCGAAGACACGCGUUUAUAUUUUGGCAUAAAAACCACGGAAUGAUGUGUUGAAAUGGAAUUCUUCGUUUCGCGAAUUUUCAAAACCCCCGCAGUCUGAGUGUACAGUAUAACAGUGCGGCAGCCAGCGCGACAACAUUCGUUUGAACCAAACGUGCUGAAAAAUAUACGCUGCUAUUCCAAUUAUUGAUGAAUUAUUUUAAUAAACUCCAAAAAGAUUCGACACUUUGAAAAUCUGCUUUCGAACAGUUUUUUAUUAAUUAAUUCCGUGAGUUAUUAUUUUAUCUGAGCAACAUCAUAUUUCCAACUAUGAGAGAAGUAACGUGUAAGGCUCGAUCUCAUCACUAUGAGACAUUGGAUUUUGAGAGGAUGAAAUCAGACAGUUAGAUAUGUGUUAGAACGAAACGAUUGCUAAAAUCACAAAAAACGGUUUAUGUGGAUCGGGUUUCCAGAAUACCUCAAUCGUUGAGAGAGCAAUACCUCCACUAACGUCAAAACUUGAAGACCUUCAACUAGCAGCAUGGCUACUCACGAAAACGUCGAUUUCAAUAGUCCGAGCAUUCAACAGGAAAUGCUGAAGAUUCAAUCUCAGCGCUGCCACGAUGGUCUCGUCGAAGCUCCAGGAUGGUGUCCCGAGACUUGGGAUGGCAUACAUUGCUGGCAUUCCACAGCUCCGGGGGAAAUAUCGGUUCAAGCCUGCCCCCAUUAUAUCGCAGGAUUUGACUUGCAGGCAAACGCUUCGAAAACUUGUAUGAGCAACGGCCAAUGGUACUGGAGCCUUGAAAUGAACAGUAGCUGGACUAAUUAUACUCAGUGCUAUCAUGCACCUCUAGUCACGGUAUUCAUGGAUUUUCCGGAUGUUCAAUCCGACAACGCAACACUUAUCAAGGAAUAUCUGCCCAUCAUCAAAAAAAUUUCAACAGUCGGUUAUGCAGUGUCGUUCUCAACCCUCGUCGUAGCUUUUUUAAUACUCGCAACGAUCAAGAAGUUGAGAUGUCCAAGGAACAUUCUUCACAUGCACCUGUUUGCAUCGUUCAUGACUCGAGCUUUCAUGGCGCUAAUGAAAGAAGUUCUUUUCGUUUCGGGCCUCGGUUUGGCAUCGGAUGUUUUCAUUAAAAAUGGGGAGAGUUAUUGGGUGGACAACAAGGUCGAAAGCAAUUGGCAAUGCAAAGCUUUCACGAGUUUAUGGCAAUACUUCAUCUUGGCUAAUUAUUCAUGGAUCCUAAUGGAGGGUCUUUAUCUCCACAAUCUCGUAUUCAACGCUCUUUUCACGGAUUCGAAUUCGAGUAUAGCAGCUUACGCUGUUUUGGGAUGGGGAUUGCCUGCCAUUUUCGUUCUGCCCUGGGUCAUUAUACGGGCCACCCUCGAAGAUACUUAUUGUUGGACUACCAAUGACAAUCCAUUUCUUUUCUUACCAAUUCGCCUACCCACCAUUCUAUCAAUUUUAAUCAAUUUCAUUCUCUUCGUCAACAUAGUCAGAGUUCUCUUGUCCAAAUUGAAAUCUACCGUGUCUGAAGAGACUCAACGUUAUAAACGAUGGGCCAGAAGUACGCUCGUCCUGGUGCCACUUUUCGGGGUACACUAUACAGUUUUCCUUGGCAUGUCUUAUAGCAUGGGAGUCAACGAAAAAGUCGAACUAGUUUGGCUAUUCUGCGAUCAGCUGUUUGCUUCUUUCCAGGGUUCGUUUGUUGCGGUGCUGUACUGUUUCCUGAACGGUGAAGUACGAGCCGAGGUAUCACGAGCCAUAAGGAGUCGUCGAUGGCCACGUUUUCGGCAAUCGCGUUGGCGCCAGCGACCAUCGGCACAUUCGAGCAGCACGUGUAGCUGCAACGGCACAAAGCUAGCCAAUAGUCAAAUCGGUUCAAAGUGGUGGACGAGACCCUGGUUAUGUUUCUUCCACGACGCUGAUGCUCAUCGCUCCACUCACUCGAUGGCGAGUACACAAGGUGUCUUCUUGAUCCUCACGAUGAAUCUCUCCGUUCGAUGUGUGACGUAAAAUUGUCGCAAAGAUGGACCAAUGCCAGAAAACCAUCGAAUAUUAUAUAAAUAUAUAUAAAAAGUUACAUGUUGCUUUUCCAUCUACAAGAAUACGCUGCACAUAUUUUCGCGAUGCAACGUGCGUAUUUCGAUGUAUAUAAACAGCGGUUAUUCCAAAAUCCAAGACCAAUGUACGGGCCGAAGAUUUGAAGAUUGCUUUUGCCAGAAACGUCAAAGUAUCGCCAUUUCGAUUAUGCGGCAACGCGAGGCGGAAGUCUAGCUAGCAGUCGUGGCUAUUUGGAGAUCGUGAACCACGGUCCUAAUAUUCCGGAAUCGGAUAAUCGGAUUUCCAGA
rnacentral:misc_RNA from 1 species